UCUGCUUUGGGUUUCUUGUUAGGGAACUGUUGUCCACACGGAGUCAGAGAAAGGCUUGCUUCAGCAAGACACACAGAGAAAGAAAAGUCAGUUCCUGUUGCUGAGCUGCCUUCCGCCAUUUUUGGAAAGCGAAGGUGCCUUCAGACACUCCCGAAGAAGCUGCUGACCGGGAAGCUCCUGAUUUUGGCACUUCCAACACAGGAAGAACACACAGGGGCUGAUAGUGCAGUCUUAAGAAAAGCCAAGCAGUCCUGCCUCCGCGAGCAGCAACACCAAUUCCGGCAAAGAUCUGAGGACUACAGAUCUUGGUGCGGCCAGUCUUGGGUUGACUACAGCAGAGUUGCUCAGCCCGCAGAAAGGAAGAGUGACUAAAUGACAUGACCUGCGGCACUGAUGGAGGCAGUCUCAAGAGUGCAUUUCUGAAACAUCAUGAAAAUGAAACAGGACAAAGAACUGUUCCAUUUCCACAAAUGAAACAAUGACUGUUAGUGAGGAGCUACGCGUUACGUCCUCCUUGUGUGUCUGGUACUAUGCAAAAUAUUGUGCAUAAGUGAUUUUUACAGUAAUAUCUUGAUUCACAAGCACUUCUGUUUGCAAACAAUCUGGUUCUCAAAU